rnacentral:rRNA from 12 species
AGGCGAAAAGAACCCCUGUGAGGGGAGUGAAAUAGAACCUGAAACCGUAUACGUACAAGCAGUGGGAGCCUUUAGGGGUGACUGCGUACCUUUUGUAUAAUGGGUCAGCGACUUAUGUUCAGUGGCGAGGUUAACCGUUUAGGGGAGCCGUAGGGAAACCGAGUCUGAAUAGGGCGAUUUAGUCGCUGGGCAUAGACCCGAAACCGGGCGAUCUAUCCAUGAGCAGGUUGAAGGUUGAGUAACAUCAACUGGAGGACCGAACCCACUGUCUUUGAAAAGCCAGGGGAUGACUUGUGGAUCGGAGUGAAAGGCUAAUCAAGCCCGGAGAUAGCUGGUUCUCCCCGAAAGCUAUUUAGGUAGCGCCUCGGACGAAUACCACAGGGGGUAGAGCACUGUUUCGGCUAGGGGGUCAUCCCGACUUACCAACCCGAUGCAAACUCCGAAUACCUGUGAGUACUAUCCGGGAGACACACGGUGGGUGCUAACGUCCAUCGUGAAGAGGGAAACAACCCAGACCGCCAGCUAAGGUCCCCAAGUACCAGUUAAGUGGGAAACGAUGUGGGAAGGCUCAGACAGCUAGGAGGUUGGCUUAGAAGCAGCCAUCCUUUAAAGAAAGCGUAAUAGCUCACUAGUCGAGUCGGCCUGCGCGGAAGAUGUAACGGGGCUCAAACUGGUCACCGAAGCUGCGGCUGCAUACUUUGUAUGCGGGGUAGGGGAGCGUUCUGUAAGCCUGCGAAGGUGAGUUGAGAAGCUUGCUGGAGGUAUCAGAAGUGCGAAUGCUGACAUGAGUAACGACAAUGCGGGUGAAAAACCCGCACGCCGGAAGACCAAGGGUUCCUGCGCAACGCUAAUCGGCGCAGGGUGAGUCGGCCCCUAAGGCGAGACCGAAAGGUGUAGUCGAUGGGAAACGGAUUAAUAUUUCCGUACCUUGGAUAGCUGCGAUGGAGAGACGGAGAAGGCUAGGUGAGCCGGGCGACGGUUGUCCCGGUUUAAGCGUGUAGGGAGUGGACUUAGGCAAAUCCGGGUCCACAAUUCUGAGACGCGACGACGACUGCUCUUUGAGAGCGGGAAGUCAUUGAUGCCCUGCUUCCAGGAAAAUCUUCUAAGCUUCAGGCUAUUCGAGACCGUACCCCAAACCGACACAGGUGGUCUGGUAGAGUAUACCAAGGCGCUUGAGAGAACUAUGUUGAAGGAACUCGGCAAAAUGCUCCCGUAAGUUCGCGAGAAGGGAGACCUCCACUUAGGCAACUAGGUGGGGGUGGCACAGACCAGGGGGUGGCGACUGUUUACUAAAAACACAGGGCUCUGCGAAGUCGCAAGACGACGUAUAGGGUCUGACGCCUGCCCGGUGCUGGAAGGUUAAAUGGAGUGGUGCAAGCUGCGAAAUGAAGCCCCAGUAAACGGCGGCCGUAACAAUAACGGUCCUAAGGUAGCGA